CCGCGGGGAGCACGCGCCGUGGCUCCCGCUGGCGGCGGCGGCGGGGCGGGAAGGGAGCGCUCGCGCCCCCUCAGGGGCGCCGCCGCUGUGGGAAACGGGACCUGCGGGUCCUACGGGAGCUAAAAAUGCCGCGGACAUGGGCAGCUCCGCAUUCUCCGGCCAAACACGGAGCGAAUUUCACGCAGUGGAAUCCGCCCCUGCGGAUCCUUCGCCUUGUUUACUCCCACACGCGGUUUUGCGUAGGGGUGGGAGUCGGCCCAGAGCUCUGGUGUCUGAGGGCGAUGCGCCUGGGUCGGGGUGAUCCCAGACGUGAGGCAGAUAAAUUCAUUGGGAGCUGCCCUGCAGAGAAGGAUUAGGGAUUCCUGUGGGUGAAAAUCUGGACGGGAGCCAGCAGUGUGUACUUCCAGUCCAGAAUCCCAAGCACAUCCAGGGCUGUGUCCAAGAAGGAUUUGGGGUUCCUGUGGGUGAAAAUCUGGACGGGAGCCAGCAGUGUGUACUUGCAGUCCAGAAUCCCAAACACAUCCAGGGCUGCAUCCAAGAAGGACAGCUGGCAGGUCAAGGGGGGCAUUCCACCCCCUUUCCCCUCAUGAAUCCCACCUGGAGGGCUGUGCCCGGCUCAUCCUCAGCACAAGGAAGGCGGCCUGUUGGAGCAGAUCCGGAGGAGGGCUCGCUGGAGCUGGAGCACCUCAGCCAUGAGGACAGGCUGGGGUAGUCCAUCCUGCAGAAGAGCAGGCUCUGGGGAGGCCUUGUUGCAGCCUUCCAGCAUUAAAAGAGGCUUAUAGGAAAGAGGCAGGGACAGAUAGUGGUAGGGAAAUGGGGAAUGGUUUUCAACUAACAGAGCAGAGGUUUAGAUUAGAUGUUGGGAAGGAAUUCUUUGCACUAAGGGUGAUGAGGCACUGGCACAGGUUGCCCAGAGAAGCUGUGGCUGCCCCAUCCCUGGAACUGUUCAAGGACAGGUUGGAUGGGGCUCUGAGCAACCUGGUCUGGUGGGUGGCAUCCCUGCCCAUGGCAGGGGCUUGGAACAAGGUGAUCUUUAAGAUCCCUUCCAACUUAAGCCUUUCUAUGAUUCAAUUAUGUGGUCACAUGUAAUGUGUUUAAAUCAGAAUGAAAGUUGAUCUGGAGCAGGAGUCCACAAUCAGCUAGCUGUUCAUGACACGUGGUAAUUACCUGUAAGCAGAAGACUGAUUAGGAAAAAAAAAUUCCACCUGCACCUGUUCAGGAAAGGACGUGUACAGAGGCAUGAUGGUGAUCCAGUGCAACCAUUGUACUCUUUGGUGGUUUCAGAUCUCCUCCAUGUCUUCAUCUUCAGUUUAACCAUUCACACAGAGGAUAUUUGAAGGCAGGCUGCUCCCAGAUGUCUGUGGUGGGAAUUGUUUCAAACACUAGCAGGGAUGUGGCUGGACUGCCCUGAGACCUGCAGUGUGAUACACCUGUCACUUUAUCUCCACACAGCAAUGUUUCCUGCAGUGCCUUUUUGUUUAAUAGCACCAUGGGCAAGGACUAUUGCUCACGGUGUCAUCUGCCCACUGCAGGUGUGUCCCCACCCAAGGUGGGAGCUUCCCUGCCAGGGUGGCCCCUGGAACCAUGAAAAUCCCUGCUAGCAGGUGAGAUAGGCUCCUGUGCUGGACCCUGAGCUGAAUCCAGCUCUCAAGCAUGGUGCUGCUUUAGGAAGAUGGGGGCUGUGUCUGAGCUGCUUGGCUGUUCCCAAAAGUUUGGUGGUGUGGCUGUGCCACCCUCUGAGCCUGCUGAAGAGCUGUGCUGCCUGGCCAGGCCUGUGCCAGCAUGGUAAGUGGUUCUCAUGCCUGGCUGUCUGAAGCUGAUGUGAUAAAGAAGGAGGAAGCUGGGAAACAAAGAGGCAGAGAGAUGACUUGAAGUGGAAGCUUCAAAAUGUAAACAAAUGAGUAAUAACUUAAUUAAGGGGAUCCCCCGAUGGGUUUGUCUUGGCCAACUCACAAAUCAAACAUCACCCACCAUUUCUUACACUGUAAUUUUAGCUAAAAUAUUUUUGUAAAGGAUUCUGACCCAGUCCAGACAAUCCCUUACUGUCUUUAUUUGCUACAACAGGUUGAUAUUUCUGAAUUACAUGUCACAUUGACCCAGUGGAGCCAUUCAAACCCUAUGUGUCUGUAGCCUGCAAAAGCUAUGGCUAUUUUUUGCUGGAUCAGGCCCAAAUUCAGUUGACAUUGUAUUUGAAGUCAUGUGGUAGUGCUUGUUUCGUGCCAUAUCUAUGGCAUGCCACCUGAUGUUAAAUUCUACCAGAUUUGGGGUAUUUUUAUUCAUUUGUGGUAUCUGAUUGAAAUGUAAUUGGUGAACGUGAGGUAUGCGUGUGUACUUAUGCAGAUGAAUAAGUGUUUUCUUCUGAUCUGUGGGAUUUCACUUCCAUUCUGAGGGCAUGAAUCAUUUCCUCCUCUGAAACUCCUGUUCUUGGCAUGGAGGGUGUGGAACUUGCCAGAACAAGCCAAAGAGGUGGAGUUGUCCAGGAAGGAGCUGGGCCACAGAGCUGCCCUGUGGAUGUUCUGGAUCAGUGUAAUCCACAGGUUGUUUGAGCUGUGUCUUGUCUGAGUGUUUCAAUCUACUCUUUUAUCUCUGGGAUUUUGUGUCAUCUCAGUGAAAAGUGGCCCUAAAAAGAGGCCCCACUGCAUCCUGAUGAGUGGGGAUGUCCAUCCAUGACAGCAACCUGUCAUUCCCAACUGUGACAGCUGGAUUCUGCCUGCAGGUUGGAGCUGUGAGACCCUGAGAGCAGGAGAGCUGGCAGCAGUGGAGUGCUGCUGACAGAUCAGCUCCUACAUCAGCACCUUACAGGUGGUUUUUGCUACUAAUGCCAUUCUCUGUCCAGUGCUGGGCUUUGUGGUUGGGUGAUUGCGUCUGUGAGACUUGCCCAGAUCCUUGCACGCAGUCAGACUGCAAGCAAGCAGCAUUUUACAAGCAGAGGAGUGGUUUUGUCUCAGCUCAGCCCUACAGCAGACCCUGCUCUCAGGAUUUAUGCAACACCAUUUAGCUGGUUCAUGUCAGUGGGCGAGUGUUCCUGUGUCUCUUGUUCUUCAUUAUGCUUCUAUUCCUAGAACUCAUCAAAAGCCUAUUGCCUUGCUCCUCACAGAAAAGUCUAAAUAAGUCAAAAGGGCUGUUAUUAUAAUUUCCCAUUUGAAAUGUAUUUUAUGAGAAGUGUUAUUCUCUUGGUAAAACAAUGAACACUCUCUGAUUCUGCAGUGGUGCUUUGGACUUAGUUAAUAAAUCAUGCUUGCCACUUUUCAUUUAGAAAGGAUUUCACAGACAUAAUUAAUUAAACCUGACAGUAUCCUUGUGGGAUAAGUAAGUACUCUGAUUAUUUCAGUGGUGACACUCAGGCAAACUGGUUAUUCUACCUUAUCAAAUAGUCAAAGAGUCAAGUCUAGAAUUUAAAACUUUCUUCUAUCUUGACAUAAUUUAGGAGAUGAGACCACCCAUCCUUUUUGUAUUUCAUCCUGAUAUCCAUAUGUGAUGGAGAUAGCGGGAUGGGGUUCUGUGGCCUGCAGGGUGCAGUGUGGGAGACCAGGCUGUGAUCUGCUUCAAAUCUAUUCCUUGAUUUGACAUGGAGCACAGAUUUUUCAGUCUGUCUGGAACCAUCAGAUGUGUUACUGUCAUGACACUGCAAUUCAUUCACUUGUUCAUUUUUAAUGGUUUGUCAAGAUCAGGAUCACAGUAAGGUACUUGCUGGCCCUUGUCUUCUAAUCUGCACCUGAAAGAUGCUUGUGGGAGUGAAGAACACAAAAGCAAUUGUUCACUAGGGGCCCAGACUAGCAAGGAUGGGUCAAGAGCUGUUCUGGUAAGAAUUCAGUGGUUUUCACUUCUAAAAAUGCUCCUAGACACAGGUAAGAGAAAGGAUGGAAGACUUCACUAAAAGUAUGAAACAGAUGUGUAUGUUCCUUUUAGAAUAUUCUAAGUGUGCAAAGAUAUUAACAAAGGUGAAUUUUGUCCACUGAGGUCACUUCCAAAAUUUGAUAGCAUGUCCUUUAAGAGUGGGGGGUUUUGUCUGCUAGGAAGUCAGUAGUGUACCAUCAUAAAUAUAUGGAACUGGAUCAUCUGGAUAUAUUUUCUUUUACAUUUUAAUGGUAUCCCAAAGGGUAAAUUCCACGUAAUGUAUUUGCAAUUAAAUGUGUUGCAUGCUUUCAUAUUAUUUUUAUAUGGAGGGUAAGGGAUGAAAAGAAACCUGUGUGUGUGUGUUCUUAGGACAAGAACUGAGAGGCUGUUUGACAUGAGGGAACACUUUUUACUUCACACAAUAUGAUACUGUUUGACAUAUCAUACUGUUUGACAAAAAUGUAAUUAACUGUAAUGAAUCUAAGCUGAUAUUUGCAAGAGCAGUUUCCUGCCAAAUGUCAAUAGUCAGUUGCUUCAGUUUCUGUGUCAUCAACGCAAUGGGGAGAGACAGGGAGUUAAGAUACCUGACACUGGGAUGGGAGCAGGUGGGGCAGAAAUAGAAAUGUUCAUUGUAUGAAUGCAAUAGCUACUGUUUAAUAUUCUUAUUGUCUCACGGGGAAUGCCUGGAUUUCAAUCUCUGAACAAGUCUGGGGCAAGUGGCUGGAUUUUUUUAUUCUUACAGCCCAUAGUUGUUACUAGUGCAGAUACUUAGAGAUAAUCAAGAUUUUAAGUUUUUUCAGGGGAGGAACAUGCACUGCUCUGCACCUACAUAUGUGAAGAACCUGAGAAACCAAGGUCCCUCUUUGUUUGGCCAUAAAUGUCGUCAGCACAGUCAGCCUUGUUAGUGUUCUUAAUAGCAAUUUGAAAUUUGGCAGCAGUAGUUUGGAAUGAAUUCAUUAAUUAGACACCCAGGUAACACUGUAGAAGGUAACAUUUCAGGUUCUAAGAAUUCCUUAACCUUGGGUUUUCUCUGCUUUGCUAGUCUGAGUGCCUAGAUUUGGUCUGUUGUGGUAAAUUUUAACCAAAUGCAGCUGGAGAGUGCUGGAUGGGUCACUUGUAGUGAACAGUGUAUUUUAUAGGAAAACAAUACCAAAACCAGGCCUCUGCCUCUUUACUUUGCUCUCCCUCUAAUGAAGCUUUUAAUUACAGCUUGCAGACACACUGCAGAGACACUGCUUAAUUACUAAAUCUCUGUGUAGGGACUGGAUUCUCGUUUCUUAAUUAUCACCUGUGUGUUUGACAACUUCAUAAAAAUCCAAAGCUAAGAGUGAGCAUAAGGUAUGAAAUGUGUAUAUUAUAUGCAAGGUACUUCUCUAUUUUCUGUCAGAACCCCAUACCUUAAAGUUUUUAAGAAACAGGAGAGAAAGUGAACAUUGUAUGGCUUUGCAAUGUGUGCUUUUCAUCCCAUCAUGACACUGUCUGCAAUAAUUAGACCAAAGUUACACUCUUCUUGGAAUGAUCAGCUGAAGGGGAAAAAAAAAAGAUCAGGUGUCCUCAUUUGUUUUUCAACUGAGAUGAAAAUUGAUUUGGAAAUGUUCCUUGCUAGAACUGAAGUUGCAUUUCCAGUAAUUGGGAGGAGCUCCCAAAUUAUACUGCCCCACCCACGUCUGCCUGCUUUCGGUUUACCUGAAGAGACUACAAAGAAACAGAAAGAGGAAGAGAGGACUGCAACAAAAGGGGGAGCACACAGGACAGGUGUGCUGUACAAAGACAGAAAUUUCAAGCAGAGAGCAAAAUGAGGGUAAGCCCUCAUUUUGGGUUAUGUUCAGUAGAGAUACCAGGUGAUACAAAGGCAGUCUGUGGCUGGUGAUGUUCAUAAAUCCUGUUUAAAGCAGAUGGUGACCCUGAUCAUUUGACCUUUGAUCAAGUGUUAUGAGUCAGAUCCUCAGCUAGUGUAAAUUCUCAAAGGUCCUCUGGCUUGAGGGAGAGAUGCCCCAAGUCAAGGAUCCAGUCUGUGGUGGAGAGAGGCCUCAUUCUUUGGGUGCUGAGUUUGACAUGGUUGCCCUUUGACUGGAUCAUACAAGCCCCACUUGGACUACAUUCUUGUAGGAGGAAUAUUUAUCUUCUUGUGUACAGAAUGUUCUGCCAGCUUGCUGAGGACCUACAAAUUAAUAAUAACACAUUCAGAUUUGUAUUUGUUUGUCUUAGAAAAAAAUACACAAAUAUUGAUUUAGGGAAAAUAUGUAGGGUUUUUUGUUGUUGUUCUAUACCGUAAGUUUGAUUUGGAGAAUAUUAACAUUAUAAGAUUACAGAUAUGUGUAGCUUCUUGUUGAUCUGACAUUGGAAUAAUUUGCCAUUUUGUUUACUCAAUAUCUUUUUGCACCCAUGCAAUUGAAAUAAAUUGUUAGUGUGAUGUUCAGGGAAUACCACUGGUUGGAUUCCCCUCCAGUGUUUUUUUCUAAUCCUUUCCAAAACAGAGGUAAUUAUGUGUCAUCUAUGAGGAAUUUGUAAUACAGCUCACUAUGCCCCUUGAGGAUCUUUCUUAAGUCAUAUGUAUGUGAGGCCUGGAAAAAUCAUGUCCUCACAUGGUUAUAUUUCAAUAUUAGAAACAUGAUGAUGAUACAGCUGUGCCUUUGCUCCUUCGUGUUCCUGUCUGACCUGGGCUCUGGCCUGGGAGUGAUGUUGAUGUCAGAAUAUGCCAGAUUGGUUGUUUCUCAAAGCAGGGCUAUGAAGAAGUUCUUGCCAGUGUGUGAAAGUCACAGUUGGAAAAUCUUGUUGAUGAUGGUUGUUUUGUAGUGGUUUUUUUUUUCCUUCUCCCUCAUGUUCUUUUGUAUCAGGAAGUUACAGGAGCAGUCUGUCAGGAGAAGCCUUUGUGCCACUUGUACCCCCCAUAUCUGCAAACCUGGGCAUGGCUCCAACCUGUGUUCACUCCUGGUUUGUGCAGGUGGCCCUUUGCCUGUAAAGGUUCCACAGGUGACCUUGUGCUUCUCAGAACCAAGAACCUUAAAUAUUGCAGAUGUGGCAGGAGCAAUCUUCCGGGCCCUCUGAGCCACAUCCCGAAAUUCAGGCCUGCCAGGCAGCCAGCUUGUCCUUCAGUGCACCACGGGAGAAGGGUGCUGUGUGCUUUUAGCAGGGGGAAGUGACAGUGACUCCCAGGAAUGCUUGCUGUCUCUUGGGCUGGGGCAUAUUGGUCAGGGCUAGGCCAAAGGACAUAACUUCAUGUUGGAAUGAAGUGUGUAAUGUCAAAUUCAGUAGCAUCUGAUAAAUGACUCCCUCUCACAGUGGGGGUUUAUCGUGCAUAAGCACAGCCCCUCUGCUGAAUGUAGGACACAGAGCCAACAUGGAAACUGUGCCUGGAAGCCUUGUAGCCCAGGGGAACCAGGCUGGCAGCCUUUCCUCUGGUUCUUUGCUGCUGAGGUUCCAAGUGGUGCUGCUUCUCUUCCUCUGUCCUGCGGUCCCUGUUUAAUCCAACUGAUGUUCUCCACUUUACUGGCCCAGGCUGGGGCUUGUAUUUUAACAUCACUUGUACACUGUAAGUUGUAGUGCCAAGACUUAGCAUGCAGAAGUUGUAGUGAAUCCCCACAGAAUGUAAGAUUUGCCAGAAUCAUGCAAUGUUAGCACGUGCUAAAUUUGUGCAUUCUCAUUUACCUUCUGUUUCUUGCUUGUUUUGAUGAGUUUGGAGAUGUUAGAGGAUCAAGCUUCUGCCUGCAAAUACUACUGUCUGACACUUUCUUUAGAUUUCAAAAACAAAAGAUGAGAUUUUAUGUUAUCACCUGCCUGACUCUUGGUAAAACUCCCCAGUCCCACUGUAAAACUUAAGAGGGGAUUUUGUCAGCAACUGACUAAGACAUGCAAGUCAUUUAUGAUGAACUGGUGCUGCCUGACAAAUCCUUCUCAUCACCAAUGAUCCCUGGACUCUUUAAGGCAGCUGGGCCCCAUGAAAGCAGCUUUGUGGCCCUCACAAAGCGAGUGAGGCUUGACAGGCACUGUUUGAUCAGAGGAACAUGGUUGUUGCCACAUGGUUCCUGUGCGCCCUCGCUUCCGGCCCCUUCUCUGACACAAGAGAUGUGUGGUCAGAGCGUGUUUGGGAGACAGGAACUUCUAAUUCUGGCUCUGGCACUUUCUUCCUUGUGAUGUGAAAGCAGCUCUACGGGCACUUUGAAGGAGUUUUUAAAAAAUAGCCUCUAAUUAGGGUGCCCACGCCUGGGUAUGUAGUCAGAGGCACACUAGGUCUCAUUUUCAGAAGUGAAUAUCUGUGAAUCCUUUUAUUCUCAGCUGGAAUUGUGGAUACUGAACAUUGAGUAGUCAGGGUGAAUUGUUCUUCAGUAGGCUUGUACAUGAACUGUGUUGCAGAAGUUUCUGAGCAUUAGGAAACUAAUGAGAAGUGCUACUAUAAAGUGCUAUUCUCAAUAGCAACUGCAGUUUUCAUACCGUGAUGCCUUGUGAGAUGUGAAUUUGAGAAGAAGAGGAGGAGAAAUGAAGAAAAAUAACCUAAAAAUAUGGUACAGAAAAGUAGAGUCUACAGAGUGUGUAACUUACAAAGAAUGUUGGGAAAAUAGGAAGCUUUCAUUUCUUUAAAAACCCCCAAAGCUCAGUAGUCUCAUAAGACUGAAAAUAACUUCAUGCUCUUUGCUGAUGCUUUAAAAUGUAAUGUCUGCUACUCCAUCUUCCCUCUCCCUUUUCUGCUCUCAGGAGACCACUUUCUCCAGAAGUGGGUUUUGAGAUUUGGGAAUACUUGCUAAGAAAGAUGGGACAUGUCAGAACACUUCUCAGCUGUCUUAGAGCCAGACUUCAGAGCAGUAUUUUCAAUUUUGAGACCCUUCCUCAGCUGAGGCUUGAGGAAGCAUCACAAAUGAGGCUUAUGAAGCAUCCAUGCCAUUUCAAGACAAUUUUAUGUUUUCACAAGGAACAAGCAGAUUUAUUUUGAAAGCAACCAGCCUACAGAAUAUUGUUCCAAAUAAAUUAAGAUACAGGGUGUCAUAGCUGGUAUUUUGGUCUGCUGUUUGCUGUUGAAGCCUGAGUACUUUGGUCUGUGCUGUUUGCAUUGUACUGAAGAGUAGCUGAGUUUCAUUCUGCCUGCCAUCCCCAGGGCCCUCAUGAAGAAGAGAUUCAUAUCUCAUGAGAUUACCCUACGGAGCAAAGAAAUGAAAUAAAUAAUAUUAUCUUUUAGUUCUGUCAAGUAUAGUAGCUCUCAGAGCCUUUCAAGGCAGUGUCAGCAGGGGCUGCAGCCUGCAUCAGUGUGUGAAAAGGCAUCCUUUACAAGAGCAGUGCUGCAGAAUGGAGCCAAUGGGAGCCUAAUGCGUGGUGGGAAAGAGUGAGCCUUCUUUCCCCCUCCCUAAUGCAAGCCUGCAGGGGUUUGUUUUGUGAGCCUUGGGGCAAAUCAGCCUGCUGGAAUUCUCCUACCAUUGGAAAUCAGUGUACUUGUAGUAGGGAUCUUAUUUGGGAACCAAUUAGGGCUUGUCCUUGGCAAUUUUAAUGGACUCAGAACACAGAAGUACUGGAAAUAAAAGAUUUUGCAGUAGUUUCUGUUAGAAAACCAUGGGCUACCCAAUUCCUUCCACAGUACAAUACAAUGCUUCAAAAGACAGCAAAGGUUGUUAUCAUAACUUAGUCAUGUGUGAAGAGCCAGGAGAGCUAAAAUCAGUUAAAUAAUUUUAUUAUGCUGUAAUGUUGGGAAGAAAUAUUCCCCAGAACAAUUGUUCUUCCCUGUUCUGCAGAAAAUUCUGCAAAAACCCACUUGAAAUGUGUCUGUCAAUGCAAACUAACUCAGGCAGCUACAGUAAAUUUCAGAUUCUUGCAUUAUCAUUACAGAGGAAAAACUCCCUUUUCUUUUUACUUGUCCACCAGUCCUUUCACCCAAUGUCUUUAACACAUUUCUAUAAUUAAAUUUCACAUCAUAUCUCUGAAAUAUGUUAUCCUGUUUGAUCAUACUUAAUCUAAAAAAAAUCACAGCUACUCCUUGUCAUACCAUCCAAUUUCCAGGCUUUGGCAGGGCUGUACAAUAACCUCACAAUUAUCUGUUGUGCCCUAUUCCCUAUCGGGUGCUAGGGCUUGGUUUCUGUUUCAGUUAACCCUUCAGUACACUCCAAACUGGCAGCAUCCAAGAAUAAAGCACAAUACUUUCCUGAGAAAUGGAAGAAGAUUGGGCAUAAACUUAGAGAAGUCAAUAAGAAGCUGAAGUUCUACUGACAAGGGGUUUCUGUUUAGGAUUUUUUAUAGAGCCAGUGUAAUAGGAAUGCAGCUUUUUUUGGCAUGAUAUUGCAAGCCCUGUUUCCACCUUAAGAUACUGAACUGUUGCAUGCCAGUCCUUCAAAGCUGAUAAGAAGAAAUGAAGACUGUGGUUACAGCUACAUGCAUUGCAUGUACCUGGAACUGUUCUUAGCUCUGGAUCAGGCAAUUAAAGAUAUUUUUAACUUCCAGUCUUCAAAAGGAGAAAUUGUAAGUGCAUAGCAGCCAUAACCACAAACUGGGUGGCAGGCCUGCCAGGACUGGAGUGAGGAUGAAGAAACACAGCCCAGUGUUUUUUAAGGAUGGGAUUAAAAUUGGCUAGGAAAGGCUGUCCAGCCUGGGAGCUGCAGAAGGGAACACAGCAGGUAUGGGACUGGAGCUGGCUGAAAAACUAGGGGAAGGUGGGAAUUGUUUGGCAUCAGAAUCAAGAGGAUGAAAGACAGAGAUAGAAAAAAAACAAACAGAAAGAAGAGAAAAAUGCAACUGUCUGAGCAAAUACAUUGAGUCAAAGAGGUGUGUAGGGAAUAUGAAAUAAGGAAAUGGCCACCAGGCUGGGAGCUGGGGCAGGGAAUAGGUGAGAACUUGCAGAUCUGGAGUGCAAAGGUUGAUUGGAGCUUCAACAAAUUAAAGAAGGGAGAUUGAAAGCAGGAAGGGAGAAUUGGGUCUGGGAGGAGGUGAAAGAAAGUAGGAGUCAGGUGAAGGCUGUAGAUAAAUAAAGGCAGUCUUUUAUACUCCUUCCAUCACCAGAAUGUCAGAGUAGCUUUUAGAUAAAACUAAUAACAAGCCCAGUUUUCCCUGGGUGACGGGAGAGGACCUUUAUCUGUUGAGCUGGAACUAGACGAAGUCAUUUGGAUGUUUAGUUGUGCUUUUGGGGGGAUAGGAAAGAAAUAUUUCUUCUUUGAUCAGAGACCCUUUGGAGUUUGGUGACAAAAUGUGAAUGCCUUUCUCAAAUGAUUCUGAAAGAUUACCUGCAGUGUUGCUUGAAAACAA